rnacentral:rRNA from 1 species
CACGUAGGGCGCAAGCGUUGUCCGGAAUUAUUGGGCGUAAAGAGCUCGUAGGCGGCCUGUUGCGUCCGCUGUGAAAGCCCGGGGCUUAACCCCGGGUCGGCAGUGGAUACGGGCAGGCUAGAGGUAGGUAGGGGAGAAUGGAAUUCCCGGUGUAGCGGUGAAAUGCGCAGAUAUCAGGAAGAACACCCGUGGCGAAAGCGGCUCUCUGGAACGGUACUGACGCUGAGACGCGAAAGCGUGGGGAGCGAACAGG